rnacentral:rRNA from 1 species
AGAGUCUUAUCCUGGCUCAGGAUGAACGCUAGCGGCAGGCUUAACACAUGCAAGUCGAGGGGCAGCGGGGAGGAAGCUUGCUUUCUCCGCCGGCGACCGGCGCACGGGUGAGUAACACGUAUGCAACCUGCCCCUGUCAGGGGGACAACCCGCCGAAAGGCGGGCUAAACCCGCGUACAUGCCACCGGGGCAUCCCGGAGGCAGGAAAGGCUUCGGCCGGACAGGGAUGGGCAUGCGGCGCAUUAGGCAGUAGGCGGGGUAACGGCCCACCUAACCGACGAUGCGUAGGGGUUCUGAGAGGAAGGUCCCCCACACUGGUACUGAGACACGGACCAGACUCCUACGGGAGGCAGCAGUGAGGAAUAUUGGUCAAUGGUCGGGAGACUGAACCAGCCAAGCCGCGUGAGGGAGGAAGGUACAGAGUAUCGUAAACCUCUUUUGUCAGGGAACAAAGGCGGGGACGUGUCCCCGGAUGAGUGUACCUGAAGAAAAAGCAUCGGCUAACUCCGUGCCAGCAGCCGCGGUAAUACGGAGGAUGCGAGCGUUAUCCGGAUUUAUUGGGUUUAAAGGGUGCGCAGGCGGUCUGUUAAGUCAGCGGUCAAAGCCCGGGGCUCAACCCCGGCCCGCCGUUGAAACUGGCAGUCUCGAGUUGGAGAGAAGUAUGCGGAAUGCGCGGUGUAGCGGUGAAAUGCAUAGAUAUCGCGCAGAACUCCGAUUGCGAAGGCAGCAUGCCGGCUCCACACUGACGCUGAGGCACGAAAGCGUGGGUAUCGAACAGGAUUAGAUACCCUGGUAGUCCACGCAGUAAACGAUGAAUGCUGGCUGUCCGGGGGGAUUGACCCCUGGGUGGCGAAGCGAAAGCGAUAAGCAUUCCACCUGGGGAGUACGCCGGCAACGGUGAAACUCAAAGGAAUUGACGGGGGCCCGCACAAGCGGAGGAACAUGUGGUUUAAUUCGAUGAUACGCGAGGAACCUUACCCGGGCUCAAACGGGGAGUGACUCAGGCAGAGACGCCUGUUUCCCACGGGACACUCCCCGAGGUGCUGCAUGGUUGUCGUCAGCUCGUGCCGUGAGGUGUCGGCUUAAGUGCCAUAACGAGCGCAACCCCCGCGUGCAGUUGCUAACAGAUAACGCUGAGGACUCUGCACGGACUGCCGGCGCAAGCCGCGAGGAAGGCGGGGAUGACGUCAAAUCAGCACGGCCCUUACGUCCGGGGCGACACACGUGUUACAAUGGGUGGUACAGCGGGAAGCCAGGCGGCGACGCCGAGCGGAACCCGAAAUCCACUCUCAGUUCGGAUCGGAGUCUGCAACCCGACUCCGUGAAGCUGGAUUCGCUAGUAAUCGCGCAUCAGCCAUGGCGCGGUGAAUACGUUCCCGGGCCUUGCACACACCGCCCGUCAAG